rnacentral:rRNA from 1 species
AGCGAACGCUGGCGGCAGGCUUAACACAUGCAAGUCGAGCGGGCACUUCGGUGUCAGCGGCAGACGGGUGAGUAACACGUGGGAACGUACCCUUCGGUUCGGAAUAACGCUGGGAAACUAGCGCUAAUACCGGAUACGCCCUUUUGGGGAAAGGUUUACUGCCGAAGGAUCGGCCCGCGUCUGAUUAGCUAGUUGGUGGGGUAAUGGCCUACCAAGGCGACGAUCAGUAGCUGGUCCGAGAGGAUGAUCAGCCACACUGGGACUGAGACACGGCCCAGACUCCUACGGGAGGCAGCAGUGGGGAAUAUUGGACAAUGGGCGCAAGCCUGAUCCAGCCAUGCCGCGUGAGUGAUGAAGGCCUUAGGGUUGUAAAGCUCUUUUGUCCGGGACGAUAAUGACGGUACCGGAAGAAUAAGCCCCGGCUAACUUCGUG